UUGGAGCCAUGAAUUAAAAACUGAGAGACGCGGGAACCGAAGGAACACGCAGUCCUUCUCCUCCGCCCCGCACACACGUCUUGUAGUAGGUAGAGUUCGUUCUCGCCAGUCCGAGAACCGGUGGAACCACAGGACGCACAGGGAAGAAGCACUCUCCACUGAGGAACUAUCCAGCGAUUGAGAGACAAAGAGAGAGAGUUAAGGGAGGAAGGAAGGGAGGAAGGUUGAUAGAGUGGAAUUCUCUUCAGCCGAUCGCAUGAUUCCUGGUUCACGCUCUUUUCACAGCGGGACGAUGUUGAGGAAAGCGCUCGCGGCAUUAUUUCUCUACGGGCUCGUUACGCACUACAGGGCGGGCUGUUCUCCCGCGGGACUCCUUCAACCCGACGACAGACUCGACGACGACGUCUUCGACGAGAACGGGGAAUCGUUACUGCGUCUGCCGUUUGGCGGGAACCAACUGACGUUACGGAGCGCACCAUCAGAGGACGUCUACUCCUUAUAUUACCCCGAGGAGGAGAGAACCCAGCGGCACGCGGACGGCAUGUUCAAUAAGGCGUACCGGAAGGCGUUGGGUCAGCUGUCCGCACGGAAAUACCUCCACGCGCUCAUGGCGAAACGUGUAGGCGGGGGAAACUCAAUGGAGGAGAGCGAGGAGGAGCCUCUGUCGAAGCGGCACUCGGACGGCGUCUUCACGGACAGUUACAGCCGCUACCGCAAGCAGAAGGCUGUGAAGAAGUACCUGGCCGCCGUUCUUGGGAAAAGGUACAGACAGAGACACCGGAGCAAGGGACGCCUGGCAUAUUUAUAGCUUCCUCAAAACAGAGCGUUAGGAUGAGUGUGUACAGCCCCGAAGAAUUCAUUUAUCCAGUUAAAGGAACAACAAUCAGUGAACUGCAUUUAUGUUUUUUUUUGUAUUUGUAUUUAUGUAUAACGUAAGCCAUUAAAUGAAUAUUUUGAUAAUAUAUUGUUUUUAUUUUUUAACUCAGCACUUGAUAACGCACAUAUCUACUUUAUGGACCAACCUUUUGUUUAGAUGAUCUCUAUUUAUGUCUGAGUUUAGACGAUAUAUAUAUAUAUAUAUUUAUUUAUGUAGCCCACGCAUUUGUUUGUUAUUUGAAGAGUCAUUUGUUGAGGAUAAGGUCUGUUCAUUGAAGCUGCCCUGUCUUUGAAUACAUUUAGUGGAUGGAUAUGAAUUUAAGGAAAAUAAAUAGUAUAAAAGACAAUGCAUUGAAUGUUGCUUUUUGGACGGUGAAAUUAAGACUCUGUAGUUGUUCUCCUUCACAACAGCCUUGAAGACAUAGAUUUUGACCAAAUCCUACAUGAGAUAGACUUGGCUGCCCUGCCGGAGGUCCGGCAGCUUUUGGAAAGCUGGCUCAGACAGAUCUCUGGCGAGUUCUCGUCCACAGCCUGAACCCUUGAAGAGCAUCUUCUGAGAUCCAGCUCUCGCCAGCGCUAGCCCAGACCUAGCUCUCAGCAUUAUCUCUUAUCCUUAGCGGUCGGCGCUAGGCUGUCUUUCUCUCCUCCUAUGUGCCUGUGUAAACCUCCACGUGUGAAAUCAAUCUCUCUUUAAUCCCCCCUCCCCCUCUAGGCUCUGUGAUUCUGAAGGAUGCCCCCCCCCCUCCCCUUGCUCAGGUGCCUUGCUCCCUCUCUAAUGGCCCACCAAUCAGACGUGGCUGUUCAGUAGCCCUGCGAUGCUGCAUUCCGCCGACCCUCCCCGCCCCCCUCCCCCUUGCCACUUUGCUUUCGUUGUACGACCUGAGCUUCUGAUGAGGCGCUCAGCUCCAUCAAGCUAUGGUUCCAGGCGGCCAUUUUAUUCAGUUUCAGAGGUGUGUGUUCAGUUUUGUGUUGUUGUGAAAGAGGAGGCUGAUCGCUGCCCAUUCCUCUUGCAUUCCCUGAAGAGGAUCGUAUUUUAAAAAGCGCCAAUAGCCUUACAAGACGUGGAAAUACUCCUCAAAUCCUAUCUAUCUAAACAUAUGUGUCUAUUUAUGUAUAUUGACUAUGUAGAGGAAUUGCAUUUUACGGAGGACUGAACGGUGAUCCUAUGAGCUUCAGACAAUAAAUGUAAAAAAAAAAUGUGUUGUAAGAUUUGUAUGAAAACAUUUUUGCUGAAUAAAAAUUUCUGUCUAAUCUCUAAA